AGCUCAGCGACUGACGUUUUCCGGCGAGGGUUAGUACGGCGGCGGAACUCAGCCGGAGAGAAGCCAACGGCGUUGAGAUUGCACCGCCAAUAAGCAUGGAUUCCUCAGCUCACAAAUUUUUUCUUUCGGGAUGUCGCAUUCAAGGGAGAUGGGAGCGUGUGCAGGCUAUUGUUGAUGGAAAUGCGUUGGCCAUUCGGCUUUGCUCCGGAGGAUCAUGUGAAGUGAAGAGAGCUAGCAUGACUCUCUCUUGUGUUUGGCGAAUCAAAGAUGUUGGUGAAGGUGGUUUCCUACUUUGAGGGGAGGGGGCCACUCCCUUUGGAACAAAAAUAUUUGACGAGAGACGAGGACCCUUUUCGCAAUAUCGGAGUAAUGAUACACAAACAAACAUAUAUUAUAAGCAUAAGAUCCAAUGGAGAAAAAGAUG